rnacentral:lncRNA from 1 species
GACAAUAGAAGAUGCAGAUGAUCAUUCCAAAUCUAAUAUAGUGUAUGAGGAGAUCAUUCAAAAUGCAUUCACAUGAAAUCCUAACUUCUCUAUCAUUCGGAAGAAAAUCUACUAAACCAAAAAAGCCACCAAAUGUUUUCCAGUAAAAGCUAUUAGAAGACUCCGCACUACGUAACAAGGUUAGUGAAGCUUACACCCCAUUGUUAGAACUUAAAAUAGCACUUUUGAAGGAGUAGAACGAUUUUUUUUCAAAAUGAGAAAUCUUCAAGUUUUUAAAAUGUCUUGCCCAUAUAUUUGUCCGAUUAAAUAGAAUACUUACUUGAUUUUAAAGUUGAUUCAAAUUUUUUGUUUUAGGGUGAUAGAGGUCAAGAAUGAUGACACUCAUAGUAAAAGUUUGAUCUCAAAGUAUAUUUUCUAAUUUGUUGGUGUGAUUUAGUUCUUAAAUUGAGAAGUUUAAAGGUUCAUAGACCCUGACAUGAGUGCUACAAUAAAAAGUAUAUUUCCAUGUUGUUGGUAUUCUAUGUUAAUAGAAACUUCUCCCGCUGAGUUUACAGGUAGCUUCAUGUUCCCUAUCAAUAAAAAGGACUCAAUUGGAUAUGGUAGGUGAUUUACAUGAUCUAUAAUGAUAUUUAGUGGAAAUCAGUUUUCUCUUCUUUCACACAUAAAUGAUUGUGUCUUGAGGGGACAAGCUAAUUUCUUAAAUCAUUAUUGCCGUGUAAAUAUUUGUCACCUGAAUGAUUCUAAUUGAAAUAAAGCAGCAUUGUUGGUAAAAUAAAACUUUAACACUGCAACAAAGAGUAGUACAAAUAGUAGCCUAAAGUGUAUAAACAAGAUCAUUUUUGGAGAUAUUUUUAAUUCACUUGCAGCUCUUCCACGAUGACAUCUGUUAACAGGCGUGGAGUGGAGUGAGCAACAACUAAUUGUCUUUGUAGUUUCAUGUUGUUAGUGUUUUGUGGUGAUAGAAACUUCUCCUCUCAAGUUUGGAGGUUAGCUUCAUGUUCCCUAUCGAUGAAAAAGACUCAAUCAAUUAUUCACGUGGAUCAAAAAUUUGUACCAUAUGCAUUACCGAUAAUAUGGACGAACAAGUGCAUUGUUAUAAUUUUAUAGGAACGAGAUGUGUUAAACUUGAUUCUUCUCAGAAAGUCACAUGUAUUUACUUGAAACACGUGUCUCGCCACCUUUUCCUUUGAUGUUUAAUCUCUCUCUCACUCAAUAUCCAUCUUUUCAGAAGAAAAACUUAUAUGGAGCUUUGAAUUUCUUCGGUAUAUGUUUGUUUCUGGUUACAUGUCCAUGCAUUUUCAGAUUUUCGUUAUUCACUUCCUCCCUGAUUUUCUAUUAUUUUAUGCCCGUAUUCUUCUUCAGACCUAGAUUCCCAAUCUCGAGAUAUUAUCUCCCUUCAUCUAAAAUUUCUGAAGGAGUGGAUUCUUUCGCAUAAUACUAAAAAAAUUAGUAGUUUUACGGUUGAGUUUGUUCUUUAAUCUCUUUUUGAUUUUUUUUAAACUAAAAGCCUCUAACUACUGGAUCAAGCGCACUGGUAAUGGACUGACAGUAAGAUUUUCCCCUCUAUUUGUUAGUAUAACUUAUACAUUCAUUAUACAUAGUUUGUUUUUUAUUUACCAAUUAAUUCCUUUUAAGCUUCCUAUUUAUUUUGCUUUCUUUUGAUAAGAUUCUCAGGUUGAGGUUUGAUGCUAUCUCUGUUAUGAUAGAAACGUGCAAAUGCAAUUCCAUAUAUAAAUAAGCUGGUGACCUUUUUUUUCAAAAGGUAUCUUUAUUCCUUCUGUGUUUCUCCUUCUUAAUGUAUUCCGUUAAAUUUGAUAAAUUUUUCUUAUGUUUUCUUGAGAUACACGUCGUUUGAAGAUUUCCACUUUUAUGAAAUUAUUUUAAUAAUAGCUGGAUAGAGGGCUCCGGGUUAUACUAAUAUUAAGUUAGCUAUUUUUAUGAGUAGAAUUUCACAUUUGAUUAAUUGACUGAAUAUGUUUUCUAUCAUGUUAGAUAUACCAAAAUACUUUGUCAUGUAAGGCUCAACUAUCCAAAGAAAGAGGGACAUCAAAAGAAAAGGAAAAAAAAAGAUCUGCUUGAAUUUGAAGGUUAAUGGGAACCACCAAUAUUUGUGCAAUGAUAUGAUUGUAUAUAUCUUGAAAUCAAAUAGCUUAAGCAAUAGGAUGGAACAUAUCAUACUUGAUAGUACUUCCUCUUAGAAUUGCUCAGACUGUUUCAAAACUUAGCUAAAGUUUUCUCAGUAGUGUUAUAAUAAUUUUUGAUACAUUGAACUCACAAAGUGUAGUGGAACUUCAUUAUUAGUUUUAAUAUCUAAAUCAAGGAUAUAUUUAAUUGAUACUGAACAAAACAUGUUGAUUAAAUAUACGUUGAGCAACUUUAUACGUCUACAGUAAACAUAGAAAACUCUUUUGUGCUAAAUAAACUAUUUACUGAAGGUCGUUAGUUUGUACAUAUAGCUAAUCCAUUUUUCAAAGCAGAUUUAAUGUUCCUCUCAAAUAUGAUUGAUGUCAUAAGGUGCAUUUCUUUCCUGUACCACACCAAAAGUACCGCCCCCAAAUUCUUCCUUUUUGAGCUCACUGUUUAAUUUUUACGAGAAUUAAUGAUGCUUUCACUUAUCCUUGUAAUACCUUUAAUUUGAUGAUUGUUUCUGUUUGCAUGUCACUUACAUCUUUUCUUUACUUAUGAGCUAUGAAAGUUGGUCGUUUCACUUGAGUUAUUAGUGUAUAUAAGAUUUCAUGACAGAUUCUACAAUAAAGCUAGCUCUUCCUGUCAUAACAUCCUAUGUUGCGGUUGCUUUAACUCUGUUAUGAAUCAAUUCCUGCUAAAUUUUAUUAUUUACUUCUGUAAACUAUAUUUGUAGAUGUUAACAGUUUCUUUAUUUAAUUUCUGCACACUUUUUAUGUUUCAUGAGUCGACAUAUUUUCUUUCUUUUUUCUCUUUUUCCUAUGUAUUCUAUAAAUAAAUUUACUUGUUUGACAAAUUGCAGACAACCUGAUCCUCGUGGAUCAAUUGUAGUAAAAUUAUGAAUGGAACUUUUGACACUAUCAGUUGCGAGAAUAAGUUCUGCUCCUUAAGAAAUGAAGGAGACGUCCUGGAUCUUAUAUCAGGACAUAUCUUUAGCAAGAAUGUUAGUUCUGAAUGUUUCCUCUUUAAUUUAGGGUUGAAUUAGCAUCUGAUAAAGUUAACUUUGAUUUGGAAUUUUAGUCCAGUCAGCUAAAUGCACAUUUGUAGGCAGGAUACCUAAGUUAAUUUUUAUUGACUGCUACUCUUAUACACUCUAUUAAGGCAUCUACCGCACGCCAAUGAGUUCACUAAUAAGGUAUCCAUCUGCUAAUGGUCUAGCAUCAGCUCAAUUAGCUUUAUAUUUUUUGGUGUGUUAGUUUUUCAUUAUUUUCUACUGUCCUUCGGUGAUCAAAUGACUCUGCAAAUCAUUCAAAAUUGACCAUUUCUAGAAGUAUAAAAUAUUGGAGCACGGGCC